rnacentral:rRNA from 1 species
GUCUAUGGCCAUGCUACCCUGAAUGUGCCCAAACCCGUCUGAUUGUGGAAGCUAAACGGGGUUGGGCCUGGUUAGUACUUCAAUGGGACUACACCUAGGAAUACCAGGUGCUGUAGGUG